rnacentral:rRNA from 1 species
UACGGGGGGGGCUAGCGUUGUUCGGAAUUACUGGGCGUAAAGGGCGCGUAGGCGGUCUGCUAAGUUGGAUGUGAAAACUCUGGGCUUAACCCAGAGCCUGCAUUCAAUACUGACAGGCUAGAGUUCUGGAGGGGAUAGCGGAAUUCCUGGUGUAGCGGUGAAAUGCGUAGAUAUCAGGAGGAACACCGGUGGCGAAGGCGGCUAUCUGGACAGAGUCUGACGCUGAGGCGCGAAAGCUAGGGGAGAAAACAGG